rnacentral:rRNA from 1 species
GACGAACGCUGGCGGCGUGCUUAACACAUGCAAGUCGAGCGGUAAGGCCCUUUCGGGGGUACACGAGCGGCGAACGGGUGAGUAACACGUGGGUGACCUGCCCUUAGCUCUGGGAUAAGCCUGGGAAACUGGGUCUAAUACCGGAUAUGACUCCAUAACGCAUGUUGUGGGGUGGAAAGCCUUGUGCGGCUAGGGAUGGGCCCGCGGCCUAUCAGCUUGUUGGUGGGGUGAUGGCCUACCAAGGCGACGACGGGUAGCCGGCCUGAGAGGGCGACCGGCCACACUGGGACUGAGACACGGCCCAGACCCCUACGGGAGGGCGGCGAGU